AUUGAACGCUGGCGGCAUGCCUUACACAUGCAAGUCGAACGGCAGCACGGGAGCAAUCCUGGUGGCGAGUGGCGAACGGGUGAGUAAUAUAUCGGAACGUGCCCAGUCGUGGGGGAUAACGCAGCGAAAGCUGUGCUAAUACCGCAUACGAUCUAUGGAUGAAAGCGGGGGAUCGCAAGACCUCGCGCGAUUGGAGCGGCCGAUAUCAGAUUAGGUUGUUGGUGGGGUAAAAGCCCACCAAGCCGACGAUCUGUAGCUGGUCUGAGAGGACGACCAGCCACACUGGAACUGAGACACGGUCCAGACUCCUACGGGAGGCAGCAGUGGGGAAUUUUGGACAAUGGGCGCAAGCCUGAUCCAGCAAUGCCGCGUGCAGGAUGAAGGCCUUCGGGUUGUAAACUGCUUUUGUACGGAACGAAACGGCCUACUCUAAUACAGUGGGCUAAUGACGGUACCGUAAGAAUAAGCACCGGCUAACUACGUGCCAGCAGCCGCGGUAAUACGUAGGGUGCGAGCGUUAAUCGGAAUUACUGGGCGUAAAGCGUGCGCAGGCGGUUAUAUAAGACAGAUGUGAAAUCCCCGGGCUCAACCUGGGACCUGCAUUUGUGACUGUAUAGCUAGAGUGCGGCAGAGGGGGAUGGAAUUCCGCGUGUAGCAGUGAAAUGCGUAGAUAUGCGGAGGAACACCGAUGGCGAAGGCAAUCCCC
rnacentral:rRNA from 1 species